ensembl:lncRNA novel transcript
GUUCCAGGCUGACAAGCCCGGGCUUGUGCUUAUUUCACUGUCUAACCCUGCCCAGGCCCCGGGGAGAAGCCUGGUAUUCUUCGUGUUUAUUUAAUUGUCAACUCUCUGUGUUCUAAGACGAUACCCUGGCCUUGACUCAGUACAACCUAGGACUGUAAGUCCCAUCAUGUCUAUGGACUUCAGUUUCCAGACAUGAAACACAAGAGGCUUGGACGAGAUUAGAAAUCAAGAACUCGAAUGCGUAUGGUCAGAGCCACGAGAGUUUCCAUAAAGGAACACAACCAUGUGGACAACUUGAUUAUGCCCUACAAAACUGAAUUCCUGUGAGCAUUCCUCUUCAAGAUGGAAGAAAAAGGGAAUAUUUCACAACCCCAAUGGUGAAACGUCUGCCUAUAGCCAACAAUACAAUCUCCAUCCAUGUAUGAUGUGACUUGCUCCUACAUGCCUUCCACCAUGAUUAUGAGGCCUCCUGAGCCAUGUGGAACUGUGCUCAGCACUGAAUAGAAAGCCUGGCGCAUGUUCUGGAGGCUGGGAAGUCCACAAUCAAAGCACUAGCAUAUGAUGUCUGAAAAAUUACACAACAGCCUCAGACUGGUCGGACCCUUCAGGAUGAAUUCCGGAAGAAGACAUUGCUGUCAUAGGAGAUGACAGCUCCAAGCGUUAUUACCCCUUCAUGAAGAUGUUUCAGUGGGACAAGAUGUGAAGGUGGAAGACAAUGAUAUUGAUGAUCCUGACCCUGUGCAAGCCUAAGCUAAUAUGUGUGUUUGUGUCUUAGUUUUUAACAAAAAGUUUAAAAAGCAGACAAAAAAAUUGUAAUAGAAAAAAAUGCUUACAGAAAAAGAAUAAAAAGAAACAAAUUUUUACAGCU